GUGGGGAAUAUUGGACAAUGGGCGAAAGCCUGAUCCAGCAAUGCCGCGUGUGUGAAGAAGGUCUUCGGAUUGUAAAGCACUUUCGACGGGGACGAUGAUGACGGUACCCGUAGAAGAAGCCCCGGCUAACUUCGUGCCAGCAGCCGCGGUAAUACGAAGGGGGCUAGCGUUGCUCGGAAUGACUGGGCGUAAAGGGCGCGUAGGCGGAUGGCACAGUCAGAUGUGAAAUUCCCGGGCUUAACCUGGGGGCUGCAUUUGAUACGUGUGAUCUAGAGUGAGGAAGAGGGUCGUGGAAUUCCCAGUGUAGAGGUGAAAUUCGUAGAUAUUGGGAAGAACACCGGUGGCGAAGGCGGCGACCUGGUCCUUUACUGACGCUGAGGCGCGAAAGCGUGGGGAGCAAACAGGAUUAGAUACCCUUGUAGUCC
rnacentral:rRNA from 1 species